rnacentral:rRNA from 1 species
CCCCCUCAUCGGAUUGACUAUGCCAUGCGAGUCAUUGUAGUAAUACAGGCAGACGGCUCAGUAACGCGUAGUCAACCUACCCUAUGGACGGGAAUAACCUCGGGAAACUGAGUAUAAUGCCCGAUAGAACACUAUACCUGGAAUGGUUUGUGUUCCAAAUGAUUUAUCGCCGUAGGAUGGGACUGCGGCCUAUCAGUUUGUUGGUGAGGUAAUGGCCCACCAAGACUAUUACAGGUACGGGCUCUGAGAGGAGUAGCCCGGAGAUGGGUACUGAGACACGGACCCAGGCCCUAUGGGGCGCAGCAGGCGAGAAAACUUUGCAAUGUGCGAAAGCACGACAAGGUUAAUCCGAGUGGUUUGUGCUAAACGAACCUUUUGACAGUCCUAGAAACACUGUUGAAUAAGGGGUGGGCAAGUUCUGGUGUCAGCCGCCGCGGUAAAACCAGCACCUCAAGUGGUCAGGAUGAUUAUUGGGCCUAAAGCAUCCGUAGCCGGCUCUGUAAGUUUUCGGUUAAAUCUGUACGCUCAACGUACAGGCUGCCGGGAAUACUGCAGAGCUAGGGAGUGGGAGAGGUAGACGGUACUCGGUAGGAAGGGGUAAAAUCCUUUGAUCUAUUGAUGACCACCUGUGGCGAAGGCGGUCUACCAGAACACGUCCGACGGUGAGGGAUGAAAGCUGGGGGAGCAAGCCGGAUUAGAUACCCGGGUAGUCCCAGCUGUAAACUAUGCAAACUCAGUGAUGCACUGGCUUGUGGCCAAUGCAGUGCUGCAGGGAAGCCGUUAAGUUUGCCGCCUGGGAAGUACGUACGCAAGUAUGAAACUCAAAGGAAUUGACGGAAU